rnacentral:piRNA from 1 species
UAACUAAGAGACUGCUGCGUGACUUGGU